rnacentral:rRNA from 1 species
GGCUUAGAGUUUGAUCAUGGCUCAGGAUGAACGCUAGCGACAGGCUUAACACAUGCAAGUCGAGGGGCAGCACAGGUAGCAAUACCGGGUGGCGACCGGCGCACGGGUGAGUAACGCGUAUGCAACUUACCUAUCAGAGGGGGAUAACCCGGCGAAAGUCGGACUAAUACCGCAUGAAGCAGGGGCCCCGCAUGGGGAUAUUUGCUAAAGAUUCAUCGCUGAUAGAUAGGCAUGCGUUCCAUUAGGCAGUUGGCGGGGUAACGGCCCACCAAACCGACGAUGGAUAGGGGUUCUGAGAGGAAGGUCCCCCACAUUGGUACUGAGACACGGACCAAACUCCUACGGGAGGCAGCAGUGAGGAAUAUUGGUCAAUGGGCGUAAGCCUGAACCAGCCAAGUCGCGUGAGGGAUGAAGGUUCUAUGGAUCGUAAACCUCUUUUAUAAGGGAAUAAAGUGUGGGACGUGUCCUAUUUUGUAUGUACCUUAUGAAUAAGGAUCGGCUAACUCCGUGCCAGCAGCCGCGGUAAUACGGAGGAUCCGAGCGUUAUCCGGAUUUAUUGGGUUUAAAGGGUGCGUAGGCGGCCUUUUAAGUCAGCGGUGAAAGCCUGUGGCUCAACCAUAGAAUUGCCGUUGAAACUGGGGGGCUUGAGUAUGUUUGAGGCAGGCGGAAUGCGUGGUGUAGCGGUGAAAUGCUUAGAUAUCACGCAGAACCCCGAUUGCGAAGGCAGCCUGCCAAGCCAUGACUGACGCUGAUGCACGAAAGCGUGGGGAUCAAACAGGAUUAGAUACCCUGGUAGUCCACGCAGUAAACGAUGAUCACUAGCUGUUUGCGAUACAGUGUAAGCGGCACAGCGAAAGCGUUAAGUGAUCUAC